rnacentral:rRNA from 1 species
AUUGAACGCUGGCGGCAUGCCUUACACAUGCAAGUCGAACGGUAACAGGUUAAGCUGACGAGUGGCGAACGGGUGAGUAAUAUAUCGGAACGUGCCCAGUCGUGGGGGAUAACGUAGCGAAAGCUACGCUAAUACCGCAUACGAUCUACGGAUGAAAGCGGGGGAUCGCAAGACCUCGCGCGAUUGGAGCGGCCGAUAUCAGAUUAGGUUGUUGGUGAGGUAAAAGCUCACCAAGCCUGCGAUCUGUAGCUGGUCUGAGAGGACGACCAGCCACACUGGAACUGAGACACGGUCCAGACACCUACGGGAGGCAGCAGUGGGGAAUUUUGGACAAUGGACGCAAGUCUGAUCCAGCAAUGCCGCGUGCAGGACGAAGGCCUUCGGGUUGUAAACUGCUUUUGUACGGAACGAAACGGUGAGCUCUAAUACAGUUCGCUAAUGACGGUACCGUAAGAAUAAGCACCGGCUAACUACGUGCCAGCCGCCGCAGUAA